AUCAGCUAGUUGGCGGGGUAAUGGCCCACCAAGGCUACGACGGGUAGCUGGUCUGAGAGGACGAUCAGCCACACUGGAACUGAGACACGGUCCAGACUCCUACGGGAGGCAGCAGUGGGGAAUCUUGCGCAAUGGGCGAAAGCCUGACGCAGCAACGCCGCGUGUGUGGUGAAGGUCUUCGGACCGUAAACGGCUAACUCUGUGCCAGCAGCCGCGGUAAUACAGAGGGUGCUAGCGUUGUUCGGAAUUAUUGGGCGUAAAGCGCGUGUAGGCGGCCAACCAAGUCGGAUGUGAAAGCCCUCGGCUUAACCGAGGAAGUGCGUUCGAUACUAGCUGGCUUGAGUACCGGAGAGGGUGGUGGAAUUCCCGGUGUAGAGGUGAAAUUCGUAGAUAUCGGGAGGAACACCAGUGGCGAAGGCGACCACCUGGACGGAUACUGACGCUGAAACGCGAAAGCGUGGGGAGCAAACAGGAUUAGAUACCCUGGUAGUCCACCCUGUAAACGAUGAACGCUAGGUGUUGCGGGUGUUGACCCUGCAUGCCGAA
rnacentral:rRNA from 1 species